rnacentral:lncRNA from 1 species
UAAUGAAUAAACUUCCAUAAUGUUCAUAGUAUACAUGCGAAAAACAAGUAAAAAAUAGAAGAAUCUAAUAAUAAUGAAUAUUAAUCUGGUUGUGAAAUGUAAAAAGCUAAUACAGUUCCAUAACGAGGUGCAUCUUCCUCAAAUAUAACUUUGUGCAUCUAAAUGUCCUUGAGACGGUGCAAAUAUCUAGUAAAAAAAAAGCCCCAUAUUUUAGAUAAAAUUUUAAUAAAUUAACAAAAUAGAGCCCAUAACAUAUGCAAAGAUAAAUCUUUAACGACAUGCAUGUUCCUCAAGUACAACUUUGUGCAUCUUAAUGUCCCUAAGACAGAAAAAAGAAGCAUCACAUUUUGGAUAAAACUUUAAUAAAGUAACGAAAGAUAUGGUAGAACAUAUGCAGAGAUAAUCUUUAAAUACCAAGAGGAGAAUGCUAUAACAUGAUAAAAGCCUUAAUUUCUAGUUACUUUUCCUUUGCAUUGCGUUCCACUGCCAGAAGGCAUUUAAUCGGUCAACUCUGUAGCAAGCACAAAUGAUGCAGACCAAAAAUAAAUGUGAGAAAUAAUCUAUUGAAAAAUAUUAUCUGGAGAGAACGACUAACACGCUUAUAUACCUUAUUUUGUCUUUUAUUCACUUGUUCUGUUGUCUUAUUACAUCCUAGAUGAUUUGUUAACAUAUAUAUGAAAUGCUGGUUCAAAUAAUACCUAUUACUAAAGUAGAUUAUUAUCAAAACAUGAAAUGCUAGUUCAAGAUUAUAAUACAAUUAGCAGAAAGGACUGAAACCAACUUAAGUCUCACUUAUGGGUAUUGGUUCUCUUUUGUCUCUGAGUCCUAAAAGGAUGGAGAGUAAAGAAGAAGCUCCCAACAUAUUGGCUCAUAUUCUAUAAAAUAUCACUCUGAAAAAUGAUUUAAUUAACACAUGCUGAUAACAUCUACCAUGUCAUAUAAUUUUUUAUUUAUUUAUUUGAAAAGGAGGAAACUAUAAAUUUAUUAUAUGGGUUCGAUCCACUAAACAAAAGUUGUUGAUACAUUUAUUUGAGAAUAAAUUUGUACAUUUACAUUUUUUAGCUUUGUUUCUAUGAUGGUCAGAAAAAGAAAAAAUAAAAUGAUUGUUCAUGAUCAUGUUGAUAUAUAAGGCUGGGUCAAAAAUUAAAUAUAUUACUUUCUUUUAUCCUCAAUUGCCUUCAAUAAUAUUGGUCAUCUUGAAGAAAAUGGUUAUAAUUGAUGAUUAUAAUUAAUAAACUGAUGCUUAUGAUUCCUUUUUAUCAAUUGACAUUCUGGAAAAUCUCUAUGCGAAAUAGUGAAGCUUCUAAAACACCACAAGCUAGAAAUUAAUAAUGGCAACAAGCAAUCCAAAAAUAUAUCACUCAUUGCAUGUACUUUGAAAAAGGCAAGUUUCCAUCAGAUCAUUCUAAACUCAGCUAUUUCCUAUUCUUUAUGUUGAUCUAGUUCUAAAGACUAAGACUUAAUGUUUAAUCAUACCUUACCCAAAAAGAAAAAGAAAAGAAAAAAAACUUAAUGUUUAAUCCAAGCUAAACCAAUAAAGUUACUUUGAAGGUAAACAUGCUAAAUUAAAACACCAAAAAGCACAAUCUAAUAACUAAAUUUUACAUUCACAACUUUUUCAAAAUAAAGCAAUAGAUAAUGACAAUGAAAGGAACUUACUUGAGAUGCUCCAUAGACCACCCAAUAUAUCUUGGUGAGCCUUUUAUAGCCACUACUUCAUCUUUGUAUGUCACAAACCAGCCAUGUGCAAUCCCUGAAUAUUUUUUCACAAAUGCAUAUUUAAAACUGCUAUGAGGUUUGAUAUAGUGACAUCUUAUCAGUCUAAUAUUUCUUAAAAUAAAAAAAUUUGGAACAUUAUAAUGCUAAUUUUCCUUCUACUUGUCCGAACUUGCAACUUACAUUGAACAUCACAUAGCGACCUCAAAGGCUCCACAUAUUCACUAUCACAUUCAUAUUCACACACAACUAAUACAGAAAACACAUAAUGCAAACCUUUUCUUCAUAAGGAGAAACACUAAAAUUGCAAAUUUCCCUUUACAUAUACAAUUCAAUCUAAAUCAUUGCCUAUUCGGUGAUUUCAUAACCAUUUACUUAUAAACCUCUUUCUCACCUAUUUUCGUGGUUGUUCAGUCACAUCUUUCGACCGAACAACCUUAUUUACCAUAGCACUAUCAUGCCACUUCAUAAUUUAGUGAUUCAAACCAUCUUUCUUUUUCGCAUAUAAAACAUCAAUCACUGAUUUGAAAUGAAGGCAUCUUUUAUUUUUUGUUUUUCUCUGCUUGUACAAUAUUGACCUUUUUUGAGUUUGUGGAAUAUGUAUGAAGUUGAGUUUGAAUUUAAAGGAUGUAAACCAUCUAUGCCACAAGUACAAAAUGAAAAUGCUAAAAACCAACAAAGAUUUGCAUAAGUUAUAUAGCAAAUUAUAGAGUGAUAGCCAGUCAAUGGAAUUACCAUCAGAGGAAUGCUCCAAAUGAAUCUAUAACCAGAAAUAUAUGAGCAUGUGUACUCAAAAAGGUAAAUGCUUAGCCACUACUCAGUGUAACUAUCCUGAAGCAAAUGCAAUACCUAUCUAGUAGCAAUUCAAAGGCCAUUUUUUCUUGGUCCAGGAGAAUUAUUGAGGCCACUAACUUACAUUUAUCAAUUUUCUGGUUCAAGUGAGGAUGAAAUCAACAAAUAUAUGAUCACUAAAUAGUAAUAGAUCCACUAAGUAUUUUGUACAUGGCAUAUAACAUACAAAAUCGGAUGAAGAGCCUCAUUCAAUAAAAGAACACUGAGUACUUUGUAAAAAUACCCCAAUCGUUUAAACCUAUAUCAAUGAAAUAAUAUUUAUCAAAAUACAUGUGACAGAAGAUUUUGCCUUUCUUUUUAUUACAACCAUUGCUAGCACACGCAAACUAAUAGAAUGUGAAGUGAUGUUUGAGGAGAAAUACUCUGCUUCUCUGCUUAACACCUUUCUUCAUUCGUCUUUUAUCCUUUUGUGUGUUAUACCAGUGAAUCAUUGAAAAGUUUCUUAUCAUCAUUCAAUUUAAUUUUUUUGGCGAAAAGUCAAAAUCGUGUACCAAAUUUCAUCUACCAAAUUAAUUUGGUUAUAGUAAAAUUCUAUUCGAAUUUCAAAUAGAAGAUAAAUCAAAUAUGUAAAACGGAGAAGAAAGAACUUGUUUUCUAUUUGACAACCUUAAGAUUUCAUGCCUACAACCACCAAUUGAGACGUCUUCUUUCGCAAUCUGUCAUUGGCAUUGUUGGUUCUUCGAUAUAUUCAUCAUUUGUACAAAUCUCCUGCCGUUCAUAU